GAUGAAGAACGCAGCAAAAUGCGAUAAGUAAUGUGAAUUGCAGAAUUCAGUGAAUCAUCGAAUCUUUGAACGCACAUUGCGCCCGCUGGUAUUCCGGCGGGCAUGCCUGUUCGAGCGUCAUUUCAACCCUCAAGCCCCCGGGUUUGGUGUUGGGGAUCGGCUCUGCCCUUCUGGGCGGUGCCGCCCCCGAAAUACAUUGGCGGUCUCGCUGCAGCCUCCAUUGCGUAGUAGCUAACAUCUCGCAACUGGAACGCGGCGCGGCCAUGCCGUAAAACCCCAACUUCUGAAUGUUGACCUCGGAUCAGGUAGGAAUACCCGCUGAACUUAAGCAUAUCAAUAAGCGGAGGA
rnacentral:misc_RNA from 1 species